CGGCGAACGGGUGCGUAACACGUGAACAACUUGCCUUUAACUGAGGGAUAACCAGUGGAAACGCUGACUAAUACCUCAUAACAAUAGAUUACUCAUGUAGUUUAUUUGAAAGAUUCGUUGGUUAAAGAUAGGUUCGCGUCCCAUUAGCUAGUUGGUAAGGUAACGGCUUACCAAGGCAACGAUGGGUAGGGGUUCUGAGAGGAAGGUCCCCCACACUGGAACUGAGACACGGUCCAGACUCCUACGGGAGGCAGCAGUGAGGAAUAUUGGUCAAUGGACGGAAGUCUGAACCAGCCAUGCCGCGUGCAGGAAUAAUGCCCUAUGGGUUGUAAACUGCUUUUGAUGCAGAGCAAUAAUACCUACGUGUAGGUAGAUGAGAGUAUGUGUCGAAUAAGCACCGGCUAACUCCGUGCCAGCAGCCGCGGUAAUACGGAGGGUGCAAGCGUUAUCCGGAAUUAUUGGGUUUAAAGGGUGCGUAGGCUGUACGGUAAGUCAGAGGUGAAAUGCCUGUGCCUAACAGAGGAAUUGCCUUUGAUACUGUCGUGCUUGAGUACUAGUGCCGUGGGAGGAAUGUGUAGUGUAGCGGUGAAAUGCAUAGAUAUUACACAGAACACCGAUUGNCGAAGGCAUCUCACGAACUAGAAACUGACGCUGAUGCACGAAAGCGUGGGUAUCGAACAGGAUUAGAUACCCUGGUAGUCCACGCAGUAAACGAUGAUAACUAACUGCUGGCGAUAUACCGUUCAGUGGCCAAGCGAAAGCGAUAAGUUAUCCACCUGGGGAGUACGGCCGCAAGGCUGAAACUCAAAGGAAUUGACGGGGGCCCGCACAAGCGGAGGAACAUGUGGUUUAAUUCGAUGAUACGCGAGGAACCUUACCCAGGCUCGAACGGCAUAGGAAUAUAUCAGAGAUGUUAUAGUCUUCGGAUCUAUGUCGAGGUGCUGCAUGGUUGUCGUCAGCUCGUGCCGUGAGGUGUCGGCUUAAGUGCCAUAACGAGCGCAACCCUUGUCUUUAGUUACCAGCAUGUAGUGAUGGGGACUCUAAAGAGACUGCCUCCGCAAGGUGAGAGGAAGGUGGGGAUGACGUCAAAUCAGCACGGCCCUUACGUCUGGGGCGACACACGUGUUACAAUGGUGGUUACAGAGGGAAGCUACUGUGUGAACAGAUGCAGAUCUAUAAAAAGCCACCUCAGUACGGAUUGGAGUCUGCAACUCGACUCCAUGAAGCUGGAUUCGCUAGUAAUCGCGCAUCAGCCAUGGCGCGGUGAAUACGUUCCCGGGCCUUGUACACACCGCCCGUCAAGCCAUGGAAGUCGCGGGCGCUUGAAGUUCGUCACCGCAAGGAGCGACCUAGGGCGAAAGUGAUAACUGGGGCUAAGUCGUAACAAGGUAGCC
rnacentral:rRNA from 1 species